rnacentral:rRNA from 1 species
AACUCCUACGGGAGGCAGCAGUGGGGAAUAUUGCACAAUGGGCGCAAGCCUGAUGCAGCGACGCCGCGUGGGGGAUGACGGCUUUCGGGUCGUAAACUCCUUUCAACCAUGACGAAGCUUUUUGUGACGGUAGUGGUAGAAGAAGCACCGGCUAACUACGUGCCAGCAGCCGCGGUAAUACGUAGGGUGCGAGCGUUGUCCGGAAUUACUGGGCGUAAAGAGCUCGUAGGUGGUUUGUCGCGUCGUCUGUGAAAUUCCGGGGCUUAACUCCGGGCGUGCAGGCGAUACGGGCAUAACUUGAGUACUGUAGGGGAGACUGGAAUUCCUGGUGUAGCGGUGAAAUGCGCAGAUAUCAGGAGGAACACCGAUGGCGAAGGCAGGUCUCUGGGCAGUUACUGACGCUGAGGAGCGAAAGCAUGGGUAGCGAACAGGAUUAGAUACCCUGGUAGUCCAUGCCGUAAACGGUGGGCGCUAGGUGUGGGGGUCUUCCACGACUUCCGUGCCGUAGCUAACGCAUUAAGCGCCCCGCCUGGGGAGUACGGCCGCAAGGCUAAAACUCAAAGGAAUUGACGGGGGCCCGCACAAGCGGCGGAGCAUGUGGAUUAAUUCGAUGCAACGCGAAGAACCUUACCUGGGCUUGACAUAUGCAGGAUCGGCACAGAGAUGUGUUUUCCCUUGUGGUCUGUAUACAGGUGGUGCAUGGUUGUCGUCAGCUCGUGUCGUGAGAUGUUGGGUUAAGUCCCGCAACGAGCGCAACCCUUGUCUUGUGUUGCCAGCACGUUAUGGUGGGGACUCGCGAGAGACUGCCGGGGUUAACUCGGAGGAAGGUGGGGAUGACGUCAAAUCAUCAUGCCCCUUAUGUCCAGGGCUUCACACAUGCUACAAUGGUCGGUACAGUGGGUUGCUACACCGUGAGGUGGUGCUAAUCCCUUUAAAGCCGGUCUCAGUUCGGAUUGGAGUCUGCAACUCGACUCCAUGAAGUCGGAGUCGCUAGUAAUCGCAGAUCAGCAACG